GAUUAUUUUGGAGAGAAUUUCAAGGGGGAUUUCAUCAAGCAUCAAAGGUGAGUUGUUUCUACUUAUUUCCAAGUUAAAUACAUGAAUUAGAGCUGAAAACUCAAGUAAUUUAUGGACAAAAAUGGUGGGUUAGGGUUUGAAACUUAAGAGAAUUAAAUGGUGAUUUGAGGGGCCAAAUGAACUCCGAUUUUUGUGAAUUUGGUAUGUAUAGACUCGUGGCGAGAUAAGGGUCGUAUUAAUGUAAAAAUUUCUGAAUUUCGAGACGUGGGCCCGGGGCUCGGGUUUUGCUAAUUUCGUGAUUUUCGACAUUUUUUGAGUCUUUUCGAUUGGGUUAUAUUCCCUUAGCCUAUUGUAACGUAUUCGUUGUGGUUUUGACUAGAUUCGACGCGCGAAGAAGUCGAUUCAAGAGGAAAGGGUAUUGCGGACUAGCCUACGACCGGUUAGAGGUGAGUAAUAGAUGUAAAUGCUGUUAUGAGGGUUUGAAAUUCCGGACUUUCACAUCGUAACGCUAUAUUGAGGCGUUACACGCACUCCAUGGCGAGUGCGGGGUCGGAUACUAUUGGGGAUUGUGACUUGAUCUAUCCCGUGUGAUGUUUAUACUAUACUGGUGAUUGAUACACAUACUUCAUUGAUAUUACUGGGCUUGAUGCCAUGUUUGGGGCCUUGUGCCGAUUUGUAAAAUCCUUCGAGGAUUGAUAUUAUUGCUUAACAUGAUUUGCAUAUCAUUUAAUUUCAGUCCAAGGUUUUAAAUGGUGUUUUGCAAACUCAGCCAUAAUUCUAAGUUUUGAAAACUUAAAUGAUAUUUUUAAAUGUAUUCCGGGCUGGGAACUUCUGUUUUGUAAAUGCCCAAGGGGCUUAUUAUAUUAUUUUCUGGACUGAUUAUAAAGUGACUUGAAAUAGUGGUAACAAUGACACUGUGUGAUAUACUUGAAACAGUGGUAACAAUGACACUGUGUGAUAUACUUGAAACAGUGGUAACAAUGACACUGUGUGAUAUAGUUGAAAUAGUGGUAACAAUGACACUGUGUGAUAUACUUGAAAUAGUGGUAACAAUGAUACUGGAUAAUAUACUUGAACAGUGGUAAUAAUGGCACUGUAUGAUAUAAAUUGGUCAGGUAACAAUGGCUGAUCGGUCAGGUAACAAUGACUGACCAAGAUAUUGCGCUUGGGCUGUAGGAGCCCCUCCGGAGUCUGUACACACCCUCCAGUGAGCGUCGUCGACGAUAAAUAAAUAUGGAUGGCACGGGCU
rnacentral:lncRNA from 1 species